UAAAAACACAGCCACCCAAAUGACAAAGUCUGAGCUCGCUCUGAAGUGACACUGCAAAACAAUAGCGCCCACGACUGCCUGCGAGCUCGCAAAAAGGCCCCUUUGAUGGCCUAGGGAACACGCUUCUUUCUUGCUUAUGGGUUUUUAGGGACUAACUAGCACGCUCUUCUUAAGCAGAUUGUCAUUCACAAACGUCGAUGUCUAAUUUGGAUACAAAUGUGGCCGUUGAAAAAUGAAUUCUAUCGAAACAUAUUUGAUUGGAUAGCCUGAAGGUACCCGGAAAAGCCAUGCACAAAAUUCACACCGUUUUCAGCUCAGGGAGCUUAAAAAAAAAAAAAACUCCUUUAAAAAAAAAAAAAAAAAGAAUUGGUUAGCCGUAACAACUGCCGUUGGUGCAGGAAAUACAAAUAAAAUAAUGAUUUUAACCGUUACACUCAAAAAACAAUAGGCAUCCUUUUUUCCCCCCACCCCCCUUCUUAAAAAUUGUUUCAGAAACCUUUACUGGCUGACAGAUUUCUACCACUCAGCCUUACAAACAAAAUGGCUGUGGUACUGAAUUUUUUUGGAUCCUCCCACUGUGGCUCCUCCCGGCCUCCAGGAAGUGGUAAAAAUCCAAAAUAAAUACAGUACUAAAAGUACAUUGUCCAGGCUGAAGUCGGUGAAGCUUUUGAGUGAUGGUGAAACUGAAACCAAACUGCUCAGACAGGAUUUGAACCCAGCCAAACCUAAGACUGGGACUUGAACUCACAGCUGGGACUCAGACCCACUGUCUUUUAAUUAAAAUCACUCACCUGGUGUUGGGACUUAAUGAAUCAUGGAGGGAAUUCAACGAGAGUCGAAGUGAUGGGGAAAUGGAAAUCAAAACUACGAGACAUCACUUCACACCUGUCAGAAUGGCC